rnacentral:lncRNA from 1 species
AGCCUGCCGAGCCUUCCUUCCCUGGUGGGCCGGUGACUGCGCCUGCACGGUCGCCCUCUGUGAACUAGAAGUCUGGGAAAUUCCCAGGAAGUUAAGGGAGUAGCUCGAGCUGGAGCGUGAAGACAUUUAAAAACCCCAAUUAACACUACUACCCAAGCAAAAAGCAUUUUGAGGCCCCUAGCUUGCGACCUCCAAGCUAGAGCCUUUCGCAGAGUAAGCUUCGGGCCGGCCACCAGCUUAAAGAGCGAGCAGGAGCUGGAGUAUCCUUGACGCGUCUGCAGAAGCCCCGCCCCCGGCCGGCGAGCAGGUGUCGGUGACGUCAUGCGCCCUAGGAGCGCCGUAGCCAAGGCAACCAGCGUCUGCCGCUUCCAAGGAAAUGCGCCUGCGCAGGGGGGAGGCCAACACUAUCAUUUACAGAAUCCUCUCGGUUGGCGCUGGGUCUGUUUCAGAGGUUGGAGCCUCGGCUUCACAUCUUCAAAACCGCCCCAUUCAAAGCGUGCUCUACUACGCAUGUGCGAAAACUGGUAUCUUGGCAACGGGUGGCUGGAACGAGGAAGUCAAGGUUUCGGCCAAUCAGAAGUCGAGUUUUACGCGCACACCCUCCUACCUUUAACUAGACUGGAAGGACAGUAUCUGUGGCAACGGACGCUUUUGCGGGAGGCAGAGGAUUCUGGGAAAUGUAGUUAAUUAGAGACUCCUGCGGGAUCCAUCAACACCCAAACUUUGCUUUGCUAAACUCCCGCCAAUAUAAAAUACAUAGGCAAUACCCAGCCCCAGAUGUUUCCCCUUCACCUCACAAUAGUGGCAAAACGUGUCUUGAGUUGGUCUUUAGUAUUUGGAAACAUCAGUUGUCCACACUACUUAUCGAGAGAUUUCACCUUAAAAAAUUUGAAUUUCUGGAUUCGCUUGAAAAAUCUGAACAUCUGAAAACACUGGAUCUGUUAUUUCACCAUGACGGCAAUAGGAUGGAGCUGAGUAUUUUCUAUCCUCUAUGAAUGAGACUUGCAUUUGUCUACUUUAUCUACUGGGACCCAGAAGAUAUUUGAGGUUUCAACCCCAGACCCUGGGGAAAACCACCAAGUUCCUUUCCCUGGCAUUUAAAGCCCUUCAGUGUGUGGAUCAAUACUGACUUGGUAGGAUUUCCCCCUCCAACACCACCACUCUCAUUUAUUCAACAAAUAUUUACGGAGUAUCUGCUCUGGGUCAAGUAUAGUGCCAGGCGCUGAAUCUUUAGCUAAAUUCAGCCUGUCUUAUCAACCCCCAUCUUUCCUCCCAAAGAUCCUCAUUUAUCCGAAUUUUGAAUGAGACAGCAACAGUUCUGCCAGCAGGUCCAGAAACAGAAGGAUACCAUGUUAUCCAAACCUGUUUGCCUCCUGCUUCAGGCUAGCGAGCAGCAAGAGUUCAGACAGCAAAAGAUUUACAUGAAAAUAUAUCUGAACUGUCAACUUAAAAAGCAAAUUUGUCUGUUAUUUUUACCUCAAAAUGAAUUUAUUUGGGAAUAGCCAAAAGAAUUGCAAUUCAAGACACGCAUGCUGUGGCAAACCAUAGGCAAAUCCAGAGGGGAAAAAAAGGAGGGGAGCUGCCUUUAUAGAGAAAAAGGGGGAGUAGGGACAGGACAUUCUAAAUGGAAGUCCAUUGGGGAAAAGUAGCAGUUCAGGGCAGCAACUGGCUUUUCAUUGGUUGGGCU